CAAAAGUCCUGGAACGCUCAAUGUCAAAAUACACCUGACACUGGACUCUUAAAUCCAAUCUGCAGGUGAAGGCAACCCAGGCACCACUCAAGUUCUGAUGAGCCAGCGGAGAUCAUGUCUUCUGAAAGGUCAAGAGCGAACCCCUUUCUGUGCCUUUUCUGGCUCCUAGAGACCCCUCCUUUCCUAUUUUGGUCUCUUCCUCCAUCUUCAAAGCCAGAAGCACAUUACCUUCCCAUCUCUGUCUCUGCUCCCUGGGUCACAUUUCCUCCUGACUCUGGCCCUCCUAUCUCCUUCUUACAGGUGUUUCAAUGACUUCAGGCCCACCUGGAUAAUGCAGGACAAUCUUCCCACCUCAAGGGUCUUCCCUCUCCCCAACACCAUGUCUGAAGAAGUUACACAAAUGAGAAAAAGUGGCUGCUCACCUUAGGCCCUUUAGGACCUCACCAUCCAAAUCAGUAAC
rnacentral:lncRNA from 1 species